UGGGGAAUAUUGCACAAUGGGCGCAAGCCUGAUGCAGCCAUGCCGCGUGUAUGAAGAAGGCCUUCGGGUUGUAAAGUACUUUCAGCGGGGAGGAAGGCGUUGAGGUUAAUAACCUCAGCAAUUGACGUUACCCGCAGAAGAAGCACCGGCUAACUCCGUGCCAGCAGCCGCGGUAAUACGGAGGGUGCAAGCGUUAAUGGGAAUUACUGGGCGUAAAGCGCACGCAGGCGGUCUGUCAAGUCGGAUGUGAAAUCCCCGGGCUCAACCUGGGAACUGCAUUCGAAACUGGCAGGCUAGAGUCUUGUAGAGGGGGGUAGAAUUCCAGGUGUAGCGGUGAAAUGCGUAGAGAUCUGGAGGAAUACCGGUGGCGAAGGCGGCCCCCUGGACAAAGACUGACGCUCAGGUGCGAAAGCGUGGGGAGCAAACA
rnacentral:rRNA from 1 species